rnacentral:rRNA from 1 species
AAUUUUGGACAAUGGGGGCAACCCUGAUCCAGCCAUCCCGCGUGUGCGAUGAAGGCCUUCGGGUUGUAAAGCACUUUUGGCAGGGAAGAAAAGGCGCGGGUUACUACGCUGUGCCGCUGACGGUCCCUGCAGAAUAAGCACUGGCUAACUACGUGCCAUCAGCCGCGGUAAUACGUAGGGUGCAAGCGUUAAUCGGAAUUACUGGGCGUAAAGCGUGCGUCGGCGGUUUGGCAAGAAAGGUGUGAAAUCCCAGGGCUUAACCUUGGAACUGCACUUUUAACUGCCAGGCUAGAGUAUGUCAGAGGGGGGUAGAAUUCCGCGUGUAGCAGUGAAAUGCGUAGAGAUGCGGAGGAAUACCGAUGGCGAAGGCAGCCCCCUGGGAUAAUACUGACGCUCAGGCACGAAAGCGUGGGGAGCAAACA